GUGUAAAACAGAAACCCAAUAUAAAAAUGAUAGAAAAUAACUUUUUAAAACAAGAUUUAAUUGUUGAUGAUAUUUUGAUGAUUUUCAUUUUGACAUUUUGAUGAUUUUUCUAAAUGAUCAGAUAAGGGUUUUUUUUUUAACAAUUUCAUAUCUGAGCUUCUGCAAUUUCAUGCACAAAAAUGUAUUAUAUGAAAAUGAUAUUUUAUUUACAUAUAUUUCCUAAAAAAAGAUUUUAUUAAUUUCCACAACUUUUCCAGAUGAUCAUAAUUAUGGGAUAAGAACUUUUAAAAAUCUAUUUCUAGCUGUGCACAUGUAAAAUAAUAAUAAUAAUAAAAAAAAAUCCUCUAUAAAAAUUAUAGAAAUUUAAAUUACUUUUUUUGUUACAUGAUUUUAAUAAUUUCUAUGACUUUUUCCAGUCGACAAUAAUUAUUGGAUAAGGAUUUUUAACACAUGCAGAAAAAAAUCUCAUAAUUUCAAUUAUUUUUUAAAAUAAGAUUUUAUUUCCAUAAUUUUUCCAGGCGAUCAUAAUUAUCAGAUAAGAUAACAAUUUCUUCUUCUUAUAUCUGUCUUGGCAAAGACAAUCAAAUCUCAGAGAAACUAAAACGUAUGCACUCAGUGCUCAAGAUGCCAUUCAUCCGAGUGGAAAAGGAAAACAAAUACUCAUGCCAGCUGCUGUUAUCAGUGAAACAGCAUUAGAUAUGGCUGAAGUUAGUAUGCAACAAUGUGCAUACGUCAUAGCGCAUACUUCACUGCGUCCUUGGCUUUUGCCGGGGGUCGUGAUCUCGUUCCUAUGGUUUCAUAAGCAAAUCCUUUCCACAAAUGGUAGCGACGUGCCUGAUUUAUUUGUCGAGUUUUGUAGGACGCAGGAAAAGCUCAGGUGAAGGAUGAGAGCAGGGAUCUUUAACCAACGCGGCGGACAGCACAAUAACUCAGUAUGAUUGAUUUAUGCGUGUGCUGUUUAGAGUUCUGUUUAAAAUCUGCACUAUUACACUUACCUUUGGCUCUCCCAAAGGAGCAAGCCAUGCAUUUUCAUGUUUACAGAGCGCAGGAUAGAAGUUAGAUCAUCUCAGGCUGUAUCACACUGGCUUUAAUGGGAUCUGUUGGGUAGCUAUUCUGGAACAAGUGGGCAGGAAAAAGUGGAACUAUUAGGAUUUUAUAAACGAGGUUCUCUGGGAUGCUUUUAAUAGUGGCUUAUCCAAUGCUCACCCCGUUUCCAGUAUAAUAUUUUAUUUUUCUAACCUCAUUGUGUUACUUUAACCAUAAACUUCAUUACAUUUUGUUACAAUUAUGCUAAAAAAACUAUUGGUUACAAAUACAAAAAUAUAAUUUUCACUCAAAAACAAGAUUUAAAGGCACACUAUGUAGUUUUCGCCUUUAGAGGUCACUUAUUUAAAACAAAGGCGUAGCUUGAUGACACUUUGUCUUCACGUCUACAGUCGGUGGAAAAGAAUCCGAUGAGACUUGGGCAGAAAUCACUAACAUUACUGUCGUAUGAAGCAGAGUGUGACGCACAGACACGGUCCGUGUCAAAUUGCAUAAAAUUCCUUAUUUCUCUGGAUUUAAACAUUCUUGGAAACAUUUGGCAUAAUCAUUUUCACUGCAUGGAGAAGCAGGUUUUGUUUUCCAAGAAUGUUCAGUGGAGGAGGACCGUUCUAUCCCAGAAUGCAUUGCUGUCAUCAUAUCCCUCUGUUACGGUUGUCAAGCGAGAGUGUGAACGAUAAGAAUGUGUGAAAACAAGGCACUCAACGCAGCUGAGAGAGGGGGCUGUCAGAUGCCACUCAGGCCAGACUCAGAGCCCUCAUCAUCCCCUAGUGGAUUAACACCUUCUGGCCUGGAUCUGCGCCGUGCGGCUGGCCCUCUCAUCUAUCUCGUUCAGGCCUCCAGAGGAAAGCGAGUCCAUGUUUCCGGCAAUCCAAAGCAACAUGGAGCAAGCGAGCGCUUCCAGAGACCCGGACAGAAAUUCGGUGUGAAAUGCGAGGGCUGUCUGCGUGUGUGAGGGAGCUGACAGGAUUUUAGGAGCGUGGAAAUGGAAAUAAGAAGCAGGCUUUGGAUGUGCCCGGCUGCCAUCCUGGAGGAAAGAUUGGUGUCUGUCGCAACUGGCCCAAUUUCAAAAUUGCCACGUCCGUUUACUCUCCAUCUUUAUUUACACAAAUCUGUUUUGUCACUCUCUCUUCACCAUUUGCCUGGACAGAUGCAUUAAAACACUCAAAACAAUCAAAUCCGAAGCGGCCGGUCGAGAUGGAGUUGAUUGACGAAUUGGCACGGCUUUCCCGGCAAACGUACUGUGAGACAAUGAAAAGCGCUUGUUGUGGCUGGAACGAACCAAACCAGCUCAUUGGAUUUCAGAGGCAGAGUGUGAUGAAUAAAUUGGACUAUUAAAUUCAUCUGAAUAUAAAUGUGAUAUAUUUAUCAUAAUAUUUGUCUUAUUUGAUAUAGUAGAUCUUAAUGUCAUUUAUCCAAUGGAAGAUUGUAGGGGAACAUCACAGGAAACAAUACAAGCAAUCAGGACUUUAGGGAAACUACCGACUCACAACAUUUUCUAGAAACAUUUAUUUGCCAGGCUUUAUAGAUUUGUUUUUUAGUUUUUAUUUAUGUUUUGCUGACUUGUAAGACCAGAGAUAAUAACUUAUCCAUUAGCAGCUCUGUAUGUUGUGUGCCAUAUGUUAUUGCAGCUAAAAAUAGCAAUUUUAUGGCUAGUGUGUUCAUAGACCACUGCAGCGAUGACCUACAUAUGAGUGAAUAUCAUGAAAAGGUCACAUUUCUCCUGAAAAUCAGAAGAAAAAAAUAAGAAACUACAUUUUCACAAAGAAAAUGGAUUUUUUUUUUUCAUGACAAUUAUACACAUUUCCGCUGUAAAACUGAGCUUUUUUUACCAUCAAUCUUAAUUAUUCUGAUUAAAUUCUCAGUCUACUAUCAAUAAAUGAUCUAAUUUAAAUCUGCAUAAUUAAAGGUAGCACAACAAAUACUACCAUGAUGUAUAAACAGUGUCAUGAAAAUAUUUUCACAAGGUAAAGCAUCUUAAAAAUCCUAAAAAUAGGCUGUGUUUUCAUUUAAGAAAAUAUAAUUAUUUCUUAUUUUCCCAGACACCUUAUUUACAGUUUUUAUGUAAUUCACAAAUCACAUUUUAAAAAAAUAUGUAGACAAUUUAAAAGAGGAUUAAAAAUCCUCAAACCAUUCUGAAUGGAGCAUUGUUUGUGUAAAUACAGUCAAAUGGGGCACCUUGAUCUCAAAUGGAGCACUCUAGAUUUUUAGAAAGGGCACCGCUGAUCCAAAAGCCCCAUGACGUAAUCAGCCAUUUUCAAUCUAUAUAUCCUCAUAACAUCUGGAUAAUAUAUGAUGUCUACACAUUUCAUUUACACCCAGCAACAGAAAUAUGACUCUGUUAGACAGACAGAAAUCCGAUUGCAUCCAUCUAGCUUUAAUCAUGUUACAUGCAAAUCCGCAAGGUCUAAUCUACUUUAGGAGCCACAAAAAUUGUCACUAUAUGCAUUUAUAUAAUGUUAAAUAGAUCUUUAUAUAAUUUAGGUACAUUAGAACUAGUGAGAGACAUUGGCAACAUCAGAAACACUUGAACUCUUUGUAGCGUAUUUCUCCCCAUAGUGAACUCUCUUAAAAUGGUAUGGUCCUUAAAGGUUCUUUAUUUAUAUUAAUAGUUAGUGUAAUGGAGGCCAGCUAGUAAAAAGCUGUGUAGGUAAACAUCACCCCUUGGCCUCAAGAGGCGCACUAGUGAAUUACACUACAGGGAAAACCCACCUGGUUUGAAUCCUGCUAGGAGUGGGUGCGAGUAGGACCUGUUGCAUUGGUGCGGUGACCCGGAUGGGAGUGAGGUUUAGGAGGGUGAGUGUAGCAGGCUCAAUAGGCGAACUAGCGACUGACACUACAGGGCUGAGGUCUUUAGAUUCCUUCUUAGCACAUCUGCCUCCCAUGCUGGUUUGAAUCCUGCUCGGAGCAUGUACGGGUAGGACCUGUUGCAUGGGUGCCGUGACCCGGAUGGGAGUGAGGUUUAGGAGGGUGAGUGUAGCACCCUCAAGAGGCAAACUAGCGACUGACGCUACAUAGCUGCAGUCUUUAGCAUCCUUUUAGCGUGUCCACUUCUCAUUCCCAUGCCGGUGAUGCCGUUUUGAAUUCCGCUCAGAGCGGGUGCAAGUAGGAUCUGUUACAUUGGUGCCAUGACCCGGAUGGGUUUGAGGUUUAGGAGGGUGAGUGUAGUGGCCUCAAUAAGCAAACUAGCAACUGAUGCUACAUAGAUGCGGUCUUUAGCAUACUUUUUAGCAUGUCCACUUCCCAAUCCCAUGCUGGUGAUGCUGUUUUGAAUCCCGCUCGGAGCGGGUGCGAGUAGUACCUGUUACAUUGGUGCCAUGACCCGGAUGGGAUUGAGGUUUAGGAGGGUGAGUGUAGUGGCCUCAAGAGACAAACUAGCAACUGAUGCUACAUAGCUGCGGUCUUUAGCAUACUUUUUAGCAUGUCCACUUCCCAAUCCCAUGCUGGUGAUGCUGUUUUGAAUCCCGCUCGGAGCGGGUGCGAGUAGUACCUGUUACAUUGGUGCCAUGACCCGGAUGGGAUUGAGGUUUAGGAGGGUGAGUGUAGUGGCCUCAAGAGACAAACUAGCAACUGAUGCUACAUAGCUGCGGUCUUUAGCAUACUUUUUAGCAUGUCCACUUCCCAAUCCCAUGCUGGUGAUGCUGUUUUGAAUCCCGCUCGGAGCGGGUGCGAGUAGUACCUGUUACAUUGGUGCCAUGACCCGGAUGGGAUUGAGGUUUAGGAGGGUGAGUGUAGUGGCCUCAAGAGACAAACUAGCAACUGAUGCUACAUAGCUGCGGUCUUUAGCAUCCUUUUUAGCAUGUCCACUUCCCAAUCCCAUGCCGGUGAAGCUGUUUUGAACCCGCUCGGAGCAGGUGCGAGUAGUACCUGUUACAUUGGUGCCAUGAUCCGGAUGGGAUUGAGGUUUAGGAGGGUGAUUGUAGUGGCCUCAAUAGGCAAACUAGCGACUGAUGCUACAUAGCUAUGGUCUUUAGCAUCCUUUUUUAGCGUGUCCACUUCCCAUUCCCAUGCCGGUGAUGCCAUUUUGAAUCCUGCUCGGAGCGGGUGCGAGUAGGACCUGUUACAUUGGUGCCAUGACCCAGAAGGGAUUGAGGUUUAGGAGGGUGAUUGUAGUGGCCUCAAUAGGCAAACUAGCGACUGAUGCUACAUAGCUACGGUCUUUAGCAUCCUUUUUUAGCGUGUCCACUUCCCAUUCCCAUGCCGGUGAUGCCAUUUUGAAUCCUGCUCCGAACCGGGUGCGAGUAGGACCUGUUACAUUGGUGCCAUGACCCGGAUAGGAUUGAGGUUUAGGAGGGUGAGUGUAGUGGCCUCAAGAGGCAAACUAGCAACUGAAGCUACAUAGCUGCGGUCUUUAGCUUCCUUUUUAGUGUGUCCACUUCCCAUUCUCAUGCCGGUGACGUAGGUUUGAAUCCCGCUCAGGGGUAUGUUUCCCAAAGCGAACUAUGGUCACAAAUUCUGUCGCUACCAAUAGAGUUCAAUGGGACUUACGACCAUAGUUGACUAACAAUGCUUUCGGGAAACGCACCCCUGAGCGGGUGCGAGUAGGAACAGUUGCAUUGAUACUGUGACCCGGAUGGGAGUGAGGUUUAGGAGGGUGAGUGUAGCAGGCUCAAGAUGUGACUGACGCUACAAGGCUGCAGUCUUUAGUAUCCUUGUUAGCGUGGCCGCCUCCCAUUCCUAUGCCGGUGAUAACGGUUUGAAUCCCACUUGGAGUAGGUCCUGUUACAUUGGUGCCGUGACCCAGAUGAGAGUGAGGUUUAAAAGGGUGAGUGUAAUGGAGGCCAGCUAGUAAAGAGCUGUGCAGGUAAACCUCACUACCCUGGCCUCAAGAGGUGCAUUAGCCUGACACUAGAGGCUGCGGUCUUAAGCGUCCUUGAUUGCAUGCCCAUCUCUCAUGCUGAUUUCCCUUCCGAAAGCAGCAUGUCAAAAAUAUAAUCAUAUCUAGCAACUCAUUUUUGUAUGCAUGUGUGUACGAAAAACCCCUCUUGCCUUCUGUUGAUUAAAAGUAAAAUUUGGCUCAGCCUUCAUUCUGCACCUAAUCGCAGAAGUGAAUUAUUGCGGAGCGUAAUAAACCUCCAAAAGCAUUGCCUUUGUUCCUCUUAUCAGCUCAGUUAAGCAAUUUACCUACACAUUCUCUCUCUAUAAUCACCACUAGGCUGCAAUUAUGCAGUUCUAGAAGUUUCUGAAGAGGAUUGUAAAGAGAGUAGAUGUCAUCAGAUACAGCCUGAGAAAUAAAGACUCGAGUGUGCAUGCUUAAACAUUUAAGAUGAAAUAUGUUAAGCAGGAUAUUAAUAGGCUUGCAUGCAAUUAUAUUAACUACAUCUUUUCAUAGUGUCAUAGUGACUCUUAAGAUCUUAUUCAGAUUUUCAUUUAUUGACAUCAGUGUUAUUUUAGCUUAUCAUUGAGAUACUAUUAUAGUUUUUAUUAAUAUUUUGAAUUAAAUUUCAUGUAUAUUUUCCAUUUUCAUUUUAAUUUCAGUUAGAGUAAUUUUGUUGAAGUUUUUUUUUUAUUAAAAAUGUCAAUUUUUUUUUAUUGUUUUUGUACAAGUUAAACUGAAUGAAAAUGGGAAAUGUGGCCUUGGCGACAAGCUGAAAUAAAUAGUUUUCUAUGUUUUAUUUUAAAUAUAUAUAUAUAUAUUUUUUAUGGUUUUAGUUUCAGUUAUAAUAAUAGCAACCCUGAUGCACAUUUAGUAGUUCGUUGACUAUAGGUAAAACUUUUCCAUCUGAUGCAAUAUAGUUUCACAAUCUUGAAGUAAUUCCUCAGUUUUCAUGCUUUAAUGCAGGAAAAAAUCUCCCCCGUAACUCUUCCACCCACAGAGCUGCAGUCUGAGCUUCAGCGGUAACAAACUUUAUCACUGCUUUCAUAUACAGCACUUUGGCUGCCAGCCGGCCCGUAUCAGUACAGAUUUGUGUAUCCGUUGAUUCAUGUUGGUAGAUUUCUGCUGGACUGAGUGGGGCUUCAGUAGCCGCCGGGGGCCUGAAAGAAACAGCAGGUGGGCUGGAGCUUUUAGCGGCCUGCAUUUCAGCCACAAACACCGGUCACAGUGACUCUAAUCUGUUUAUUUGGUGGACUAUUACUCUGGUAAAUAAUCUACUUGUGUGUGUGUGUGUGUGUGUGUGUUGUGUGUGUUUGACAAUUAGUCAUAUUAAUUACGAUGAAAAGUGGGCGACUUGUUCUGUUCUCUCUUGUUGUUCUUUUUAUGUUCUUGUUGUUAUUUUAUCUUCUCAGUGGGCUUGUUGUGGUUAAUGGUUCCAGGAAAAAUAAAAAUUGCUGCAGAGAAGGGUGAAAAACAUGGAGGAUGAGUUUAAAAGAUUUACCUGAUAUUCCUGUGUUUUUACUGGAGCAUCGGUACAGUAUGUGUGUUGAAAGUCACUGUAAAAAUGUUUGAAUUU